UAGAGACAGCGCCAGGGCAAGUGUGAGCCGGACGGGCACUGGGCGACUCUGUGCCUCGCGGAGGAAAAGCGAUCAAACAUGGGCAAAGGAGAUCCUAAGAAGCCAAGAGGCAAAAUGUCAUCAUAUGCAUUCUUUGUGCAAACUUGCCGCGAGGAGCACAAGAAGAAGCACCCGGAUGCUUCGGUCAACUUUUCAGAAUUUUCCAAGAAGUGCUCAGAGAGGUGGAAGACCAUGUCUGCUAAAGAGAAAGAAAAAUUUGAAGACAUGGCAAAGGCUGACAAAGCCCGUUAUGAAAGAGAAAUGAAAACUUAUAUCCCCCCUAAAGGGAAAACAAAAAAGAAAUUCAAGGACCCCAAUGCACCUAAGAGGCCUCCGUUGGCCUUUUUCUUGUUUUGUUCUGAGUAUCGCCCCAAAAUCAAAGGAGAACAUCCUGGCCUAUCCAUUGGUGAUGUUGCAAAGGAACUGGGAGAGAUGUGGAAUAACACUGCUGCAGAUGACAAGCAGCCUUAUGAAAAGAAGGCUGCUAAGCUGAAGGAAAAAUACGAAAAGGAUAUUGCUGCCUACCGAGCUAAAGGCAAGCCUAAUGCAGCCAAAAAGGGAGUUGUCAAAGCCGAAAAAAAGCAAGAAAAAGAAGGAAGAAGAGGAAGAUGAAGAAGAGGAUGAGAAUGAGGAAGAAGAGGAAGAUGAAGAAGAUGAAGACGAAGAGGAAGAUGAUGAUGAUGAAUAAGUUGGUUCUAGCGCAGUUUUUUUUCUUGUCUAUAAAGCAUUUAACCCCCCUGUACACAACUCACUCCUUUUAAAGAAAAAAAUUGAAAUGUAAGGCUGUGUAAGAUUUGUUUUUAAACUGUACAGUGUCUUUUUUUGUAUAGUUAACACACUACCGAAUGUGUCUUUAGAUAGCCCUGUCCUGGUGGUAUUUUCAAUAACCUUGCCUGGUACAGUAAGGGGGUUGUAAAUUGGCAUGGAAAUUUAAAGCAGGUUCUUGUUGGUGCACAGCACAAAUUAGUUAUAUAUGGGGAUGGUAGUUAUUUUUUAUUAUUUUGUUUCAUCUUCAGUUGUCUAUGAUG